rnacentral:rRNA from 1 species
CCUACGGGUGGCAGCAGUGAGGAAUAUUGGUCAAUGGACGCAAGUCUGAACCAGCCAAGUAGCGUGCAGGAUGACGGCCCUCCGGGUUGUAAACUGCUUUUAGUUGGGAAUAAAAGGGGGCUCGUGAGCCCCGUAUUGUAUGUACCAUCAGAAAAAGGACCGGCUAAUUCCGUGCCAGCAGCCGCGGUAAUACGGAAGGUCCGGGCGUUAUCCGGAUUUAUUGGGUUUAAAGGGAGCGUAGGUGGAUUGUUAAGUCAGUUGUGAAAGUUUGCGGCUCAACCGUAAAAUUGCAGUUGAAACUGGCAGGCUGGAGUACAGUAGAGGUGGGCGGAAUUCGUGGUGUAGCGGUGAAAUGCUUAGAUAUCACGAAGAACUCCGAUUGCGAAGGCAGCUCACUGGACUGCAACUGACACUGAGGCUCGAAAGUGUGGGUAUCAAACAGGAUUAGAUACCCUUGUAGUC